rnacentral:tRNA from 1 species
GGGCGUUUAGCUCAGCUGGUUCAGACCAUCUGCCUUACAAGCAGAUGGUCGGCGGUUCGAAUCCGUCAACGCCCA